rnacentral:rRNA from 1 species
GACGAACGCUGGCGGCGUGCUUAACACAUGCAAGUCGAACGAAGUGGCGAACGGGUGAGUAAUACGUGGGUAACCUGCCCUCCUUUUUGGGAUAAGCCUUGGAAACGGGGUCUAAUACCGAAUAAAGGGGGAUGGGAUCGCGGCCUAUCAGCGUGUUGGUGGGGUGGUGGCCGACCAAGGCGGAGACGGGUAGCCGGCCUGAGAGGGUGACCGUCCCACUUGGGACUGAGAUACGGCCCAAACUCAUCAGGGAGGCAGCAGUGGGGGAUAUUGCACAAUAGGCGAAAUCCUGAUGCAGCCAUGCCGCUUGUAUGAAGAAGGCCCUAGGGUUGUAAAGUACUUACAGUCGGGAGGAGUUACCGACAGAAGAAGCACCGGCUAACUCCGUGCCAGCAGCCGCGGUAAUAC